GGGGUUGUAGCUCAGUGGUAGAGUGCUUGCCUCACAUGUAUGUAGGCACUAGGUUUGAUUCUCAGCACCA
rnacentral:tRNA from 1 species